rnacentral:rRNA from 1 species
GGAAGUAAAAGUCGUAACAAGGUUUCCGUAGGUGAACCUGCGGAAGGAUCAUUGUCGUGACCCUUAAACAAAACAGACCGUGAACGUGUCUCCCGUGCCGCCGGGCUUCGGCCCGGCCAAGGCCCCCGAGCUUCGGCGGAGGGGCCGCAACAGAACCCACGGCGCCUAAGGCGUCAAGGAACACUUGUAUUGCCUCGCUGGGUGGAGCCGUCGGCUCGCCUUCGGCUCCCCUAGCGGCGAUGGUAUCAUAAUCCACACGACUCUCGGCAACGGAUAUCUCGGCUCUCGCAUCGAUGAAGAACGUAGCAAAAUGCGAUACCUGGUGUGAAUUGCAGAAUCCCGCGAACCAUCGAGUUUUUGAACGCAAGUUGCGCCCGAGGCCUUCUGGUCGAGGGCACGUCUGCCUGGGCGUCACGCCAAAAGACACUCCCAACCCACCCCGUGGGGAGGGACGUGGUGUUUGGCUCCCCGUGCCGCAGGGCGCGGUGGGCCGAAGUUGGGGCUGCCGGCGAAUCGUGUCGGGCACAGCACGUGGUGGGCGACACUCAGUUGUUCUCGGUGCAGCGCCCCGGCACGCGGCCGGCGUAUCGGCCCGGAGGACCCAUCCAGCACCGCAGCGCACGCCGCUCGGACCGCGACCCCAGGUCAGUCGGGACUACCCGCUGAGUUUAAGCAUAUCAAUAAGCGGAGGA